rnacentral:rRNA from 1 species
UACGUAGGGUGCGAGCGUUAAUCGGAAUUACUGGGCGUAAAGCGUGCGCAGGCGGUUUUGUAAGCCAGAUGUGAAAUCCCCGGGCUCAACCUGGGAAUGGCAUUUGGGACUGCAAGGCUCGAGUGCGGCAGAGGAGACUGGAAUUCCUGGUGUAGCAGUGAAAUGCGUAGAUAUCAGGAGGAACACCGAUGGCGAAGGCAGCCCCCUGGGCCAAUACUGACGCUCAGGCACGAAAGCGUGGGGAGCAAACAGG